rnacentral:rRNA from 1 species
CCUACGGGGGGCAGCAGUGAGGAAUAUUGGUCAAUGGGAGAGAUCCUGAACCAGCCAAGCCGCGUGAGGGAAGACGGCCCUAUGGGUGGUAAACCUCUUUUGUCGGAGAACAAAACACGGGACGUGUCCAGGACAGCGUGUAUCCGAAGAAAAAGCAUCGGCUAACUCCGUGCCAGCAGCCGCGGUAAUACGGAGGAUGCGAGCGUUAUCCGGAUUUAUUGGGUGUAAGGGGUGCGUAGGCGGUACGUUAAGUCAGCGGUAAAAUUGCGGGGCCCAACCCCGUCGAGCCGUUGAAACUGUCUGACUUGAGUUGGCGAGAGGUACGCGGAAUGCGCGGUGUAGCGGUGAAAUGCAUAGAUAUCGCGCAGAACUCCGGUUGCGAAGGCAGCGUACUGGCGCCAGACUGACGCUGAGGCACGAAAGCGUGGGGAUCGAACAGGAUUAGAUACCCUUGUAGUC